UUUUUAAAGCUGUUUUUUGGUUGAACUCGUUUUCUUGCUUAUAACUUUAUUUGCUUUGGCGAAGCUUACAUGAACAUCCGGGGCGGGGCUUAAGGACGAGCAACGUGUUCUGAUUGGUUAUCGCUGACUAAAGCGGAUGACUCUGUGUCCGGAGCUGCAGGGCUCCGGUGGCGGGACACAGAAUGUGAAGUCUGACCAGCAGUGUGCAGCUGAAGCAGGACAGGCUUGUAGGUCUGACUGAUUCCUGAUGAUCAGAACAUGAGGAUGGAGAGACCAGCAAGUGUUGAGUCAGCAGCUCAGCUGGACUGGAGUUCUGCUUGGUUUGAGCUAAAGCGGCUAACAGCGCAACAUUUUCCCUCUCCCACUAUAAACUUUGCUUUUCUUCAACAUGGACAAAACUCCUACAUCAGCAGCUGUUUGUUAUUUUGACAUCAGUGGUGGUCAGUUGAUCCUCUUAACCACUGAAUGGAUCAGAACCACCUGGACUGAGCUGGUUUCGUCAGAGGGAGCCAGGAYGUCUCCAUCAAAUGGCUUCCCGUAUUUAAAAUAGCAUCUUUCUGAUGCUAUGACUGCAUUCUCAUAAUUAAAAAUACUCGUGACCUGGCCAUAACACUCCAUUAUACAACUCACAAAGGAUGAUAGAAAUAAAGCCACUUUGUGAAAGUA